AUUGAACGCUGGCGGCAGGCCUAACACAUGCAAGUCGAGCGGAUGAGAGGGGCUUGCUCCUCGAUUCAGCGGCGGACGGGUGAGUAAUGCCUAGGAAUCUGCCUAGUAGUGGGGGACAACGUUUCGAAAGGAACGCUAAUACCGCAUACGUCCUACGGGAGAACGUGGGGGAUCUUCGGACCUCACGCUAUUAGAUGAGCCUAGGUCGGAUUAGCUAGUUGGUAGGGUAAAGGCCUACCAAGGCGACGAUCCGUAACUGGUCUGAGAGGAUGAUCAGUCACACUGGAACUGAGACACGGUCCAGACUCCUACGGGAGGCAGCAGUGGGGAAUAUUGGACAAUGGGCGAAAGCCUGAUCCAGCCAUGCCGCGUGUGUGAAGAAGGCCUUCGGGUCGUGAAGCACUUUAAGUUGGGAGGAAGGGCUCAUAGCGAAUACCUGUGAGUUUUGACGUUACCAACAGAAUAAGCACCGGCUAACUUCGUGCCAGCAGCCGCGGUAA
rnacentral:rRNA from 1 species